UAUGUUCAGUUUGUAACUGUUAAAACAUAUAUGAAAGGUGUGUGCAACAGUUCUUUCCCAUGGCUUGUUAGCUAACGUUAAGAUAAGUGAUGCUGCUAAUCGUGAUGCUAAUUAGUUAGCAUAACAUGGCCUUUGGAAAUGCAUUGAUUAUCCAAGCAAUUUAGCUAAUGUGCUACAGUGUAUACACACCUAGUGGGCUAGUGUUUGUGACCUUAUGCCUUUUUUGCAAACAUAUCGCUGAUUUUUGGCAAUUUCACCAUGUUUUUGCCACGAUUUACCUUAAUAAUUUUGUGUUUUGACACUGGCCUGACAGCUCAGGCCAAUCAGGAGAUGAAUCAGGUCGGCUAGUGGGAAUUGGCCCACCGGUCCUGAGGCUCAAUCCGGGCCUGCUGACUUACCUCCCCGUGUGACUGAACUGAAGUGUGUCUCAUCAGCUCUCUUGACAUUCAGCGACGCCAAGAAGAGAACCUGUGCACCCCCACCUCCUUCCCAUCACCACUAUGACCUUCAUCAAACCCAGGGAGACUCGUCCAAAGGUUUCCAUCAACCACCUGCUGCCUCCAAUCCACCACCACCAUCGUAUAGACUUCAUAUGGGCCUACACUUUCAUGAAGAUGCUUCACAUUGAUGGAGUCUAAUUGCCAAAAAUCUUUCUGUUGCUAACAUCAAUAAAUUUUGUGAUGCACUUCCAA